rnacentral:rRNA from 1 species
ACUUUCAGCAACGGAUCUCUUGGCUCUCGCAUCGAUGAAGAACGCAGCGAAAUGCGAUAAGUAAUGUGAAUUGCAGAAUUCAGUGAAUCAUCGAAUCUUUGAACGCACCUUGCGCUCCUUGGUAUUCCGAGGAGCAUGCCUGUUUGAGUGUCAUGUAA